UGGUCUAGUGGUAUAUGCACUGGUCUACAGGUUGGCAAACGUGGGUUCAAGCCCCACCAA
rnacentral:tRNA from 1 species